rnacentral:rRNA from 1 species
CCUACGGGUGGCAGCAGUGAGGAAUAUUGGUCAAUGGACGAGAGUCUGAACCAGCCAAGUAGCGUGAAGGAUGACUGCCCUAUGGGUUGUAAACUUCUUUUAUAUGGGAAGAAAACAGGGGAUGCAUACCCUCUUGUAUGUACCAUAGGAAUAAGGAUCGGUUAAAUCCGUGCCAGCAGCCGCGGGAAUACGGAGGAUCCGAGCGUUAUCCGGAUGUAUUGGGUUUAAAGGGAGCGUAGGUGGAUUGUUAAGUCAGUUGUGAAAGUUUGCGGCUCACCCGUAAAAUUGCAGUUGAAACGGGCAGUCUUGAGUACAGUAGCGGUGCGCGGAAUUCGUGGUGUAGCGGU